rfam:Triticum aestivum genome assembly, contig: Triticum_aestivum_CS42_TGACv1_scaffold_373997_5AL
CGAUUCAAGAUAAAUUCGUGGACCCGAAACUGGGUGAUCUAUCCAUGACCAGGAUGAAGCUUGGAUGAAACUAAGCAGAGGUCCGAACCGACUGAUGUUAAAGAAUCAGCGGAUGAGUUGUGGUUAGGGGUGAAAUGCCACUCGAACCCAGAGCUAGCUGGUUCUCCGCGAAAUGCGUUGAGGCGCAGUAGAUGACUGGACAUCUAGGGGUAAAGCACUGGUUCGGUGCGGGCUGUGCGAGCAGUACCAAAUCGAGGCAAACUCUGAAUACUAGAUAUGACCCAAAAAUAACAGGGUUCAAGGUCGGCUAGUGAGAUGAUGGGGGAUAAGCUUCAUUGUUGAGAGGGAAACAGCCCGGAUCACCAGCUAAGGCCCCUCCUAUCUGAUAGAAAAGGGUCCCAUGAUCCCGAGCCGAUCUUACCUUGGCUCGCAAACCCCAAGUUUGUCUAUGAAGAGCUAAUCUAAUUGUAUUUUUUCUAGAAUGGAUUUCUUAUGUUGAAUACUAAUGGUUUUAUUGUUUUGUAUCUAGCAAAAUUGUAAGG